GCAAAGUCACGGAAAGGAAACCAGACG
rnacentral:piRNA from 1 species